UGAGCUAUCCAUGACCAGGAAGAAGCUUGGGUAAAACUGAGUGGAGGUCCAAACCGACUGAUGUUGGAAAAUCAACGGAUGAGUUGUGGUUAGGGGUGAAAUGCCACUCGAA
rnacentral:ncRNA from 1 species